AAAUUGAAGAGUUUGAUCAUGGCUCAGAUUGAACGCUGGCGGCAGGCCUAACACAUGCAAGUCGAACGGUAACAGGAAGCAGCUUGCUGCUUUGCUGACGAGUGGCGGACGGGUGAGUAAUGUCUGGGAAACUGCCUGAUGGAGGGGGAUAACUACUGGAAACGGUGGCUAAUACCGCAUAACGUCGCAAGACCAAAGAGGGGGACCUUCGGGCCUCUUGCCAUCAGAUGUGCCCAGAUGGGAUUAGCUUGUUGGUGAGGUAACGGCUCACCAAGGCGACGAUCCCUAGCUGGUCUGAGAGGAUGACUAGCCACACUGGAACUGAGACACGGUCCAGACUCCUACGGGAGGCAGCAGUGGGGAAUAUUGCACAAUGGGCGCAAGCCUGAUGCAGCCAUGCCGCGUGUAUGAAGAAGGCCUUCG
rnacentral:rRNA from 1 species